rnacentral:sRNA from 1 species
GUCGUGAGAUGUUGGGUUAAGUCCCGCAGCGAGCGCAACCCCCGCUCCCAGUUGCCAGCGCGUUAUGGCGGGGACUCUGGGAGGACUGCCGGUGCCAAACCGGAGGAAGGUGGGGACGACGUCAAGUCAUCAUGGUCCUUACGUCUAGGGCUACACACGUGCUACAAUGGCCGGUACAGCGGGUCGCGAGCUCGCGAGAGUAAGCCAAUCCCAUAAAGCCGGCCUCAGUGCGGAUUGGAGGCUGCAACUCGCCUCCAUGAAGCCGGAAUCGCUAGUAAUCGUGGAUCAGCUACGCCACGGUGAAUACGUUCCCGGGCCUUGUACACACCGCCCGUCACGCCAUGGAAGCUGUGAGCGCCCGAAGUCCGUGCAGGAACCCGCAAGGGGCCAAGCGGCCGAAGGCGAGCGCAGUGACUGGGGCGAAGUCGUAACAAGGUAGCCGUAGGGGAACCUGCGGCUGGAUCACCUCCUUAACGGAUACACGAGUAGGCGUUUUUGAACCGCGCGAGCGGGGACGAGCGUCGAAAGUUUUCCUGAUAGUCGCUUCGUCUCGCACCAUCCCGUCCUGAAUUUGAUUGUUGACGCCGUUCACCUUCGGGUGGAGUGGGUGUCAGCGCUAUUUGACAACGGAAGUGUGGAAGGUAGAUCGUGGGAUAAUGGAAUAAUCAUCGAGCUCUGUAUGGAGUUCGAGUACAGCUGUAAAACGAACGUGUAAACAGCAGUACAGUAUGAUGUUGCGUGUCUCGGUUGAGGUAUGAGGCGAGGGUGGAGUGAUUCAUUCCAAGCUUUGUAGUCAAGCGAGUGAUGGCAUGUGGGGGAUGCCUGGGCACACAGAGGCGAUGAAGGCCGUGGUAAGCUGCGAGAAGCCAAGGGGAGCGGCACACACGCAUUGAUCCUUGGAUGG